UACGAAGGGGGCUAGCGUUGCUCGGAAUUACUGGGCGUAAAGCGCACGUAGGCGGUCUUUUAAGUCGGGGGUGAAAUCCUGGAGCUCAACUCCAGAACUGCCUUCGAUACUGGAUGGCUUGAAUUCGGGAGAGGGAUGCAGAAUUCCAGGUGUAGCGGUGAAAUGCGUAGAUAUCUGGAGGAAUACCGGUGGCGAAGGCGGCAUCCUGGACCGGCAUUGACGCUGAGGAGCGAAAGCAUGGGGAGCGAACAGG
rnacentral:rRNA from 1 species